ensembl:misc_RNA Metazoa_SRP Metazoan signal recognition particle RNA
GCUAGGCGUGGUGGUGGGCGCCUGUAAUCCCAGCUACUUGGGAGGCUGAGGCAGGAGAAUUGCUUGAACCCAGGAGACAGAGGUUGUAGUGAGCCGACAAGGUGCCACUGCAUUCCAGCCUGGGUGACAAAGUCAGACUCUGUCUCAA